AUACGAAGGGGGCUAGCGUUGCUCGGAAUGACUGGGCGUAAAGGGCGUGUAGGCGGUUUACACAGUCAGAUGUGAAAUCCCCGGGCUUAACCUGGGAGCUGCACUUGAUACGUGCAGACUAGAGUGUGAGAGAGGGUUGUGGAAUUCCCAGUGUAGAGGUGAAAUUCGUAGAUAUUGGGAAGAACACCGGUGGCGAAGGCGGCAACCUGGCUCAUGACUGACGCUGAGGCGCGAAAGCGUGGGGAGC
rnacentral:rRNA from 1 species